rnacentral:sRNA from 1 species
UCAGGAACAGCCUCAACCAUCAGGAAAACAAGAGUCAACUUCAGAAAUCCAUGUGGAAGUGAAGGCAAAAAGCUUGGUUAUAAGCCCUCCAGCUCCUAGUCCUAGGAGAACUCCAGUUGCCAGUGAUCAACGUCGUACGUCCUGCAAAGCAGCCCCUGCUUCCAGCAGCAAAUCUGAGACAGAGGUUCCCAGGAGAGGUGGGAGAAAGAGUGGCAACCUGCCUUCAAAGAGAGUGUCUAUCAGCCGAAGUCAACAUGAUAUUUUACAGAUGAUAUGUUCCAAAAGAAGAAGUGGUGCUUCGGAAGCCAAUCUGAUUGUUGCAAAAUCGUGGGCAGAUGUAGUAAAACUUGGUGCAAAACAAACACAAACUAAAGUCAUAAAACAUGGUCCUCAAAGGUCAAUGAACAAAAGGCGAAGAAGACCUGCUACUCCAAAGAAGCCUGUGGGCGAAGUUCACAGUCAAUUUAGUACAGGCCAUGCAAACUCUCCUUGUACCAUAAUAAUAGGGAAAGCUCAUACUGAAAAAGUACAUGUACCUGCUCGACCCUACAGAAUGCUCAACAACUUCGUUUCCAACCAAAAAAUGGACUUUAAGGAAGAUCUUUCAGGUAAAAACAUAGCCUUAGAUCUUAUAAAUCUUUUGACUCUACUGUUUUUUACUGUGUUAAUGUUCGUUUUGCUAACUUUGUUUAUCUGCUGUGAAAGAGAUUAUAAAAUAAACGACUCAAUCACC